AAUCCACUUUUGCUUAAUAUUUUCAUCACACGCGAACCUCGACAUUUGUCUUGGCUGUUUUUGCCCCUUGUCCUUACCCUUUUUUAUAGCCCAUUUUAAAUUACGACUCAAUUUUUCGUCGCAAGAAAGAGUGAACGAUUUCUCAACAUGACACAUUAAAAUUAUUAGACGAAUAAUUCAUCAACCCCUUUUGUUACCUACAUGGAAUUUUUUUUUAUAAAAACGAGAAAAAAGAGGAUAAAAGGAUAAAGUCAGCCUUUUGACUUCAAGGUCCUUUAUCUUUAUGUAAAAAAAGACCACGAUAUCUUUCACUUAAAGUGCUCUAAAAAUAUUUAAUCACGAAUCAUGCUCCUUGAUUUUGAUAUUCGACUUAAGAUUAGCUAAAACCUUCAGUUCUCAAAACAUAAUUUUAUCCGAUAGAUGAAUCAAUUUUCUAGAAGAUUGGCUAGCUUUAAAUGCUUAAUUUAAUUUUAUUGUUUGUUUGAACAAAGAAGAUCAGAAAUAAAACGUAAUGAUGUGGACAGUGUUGCGAGGAAAAAUGCCUCCAGGCUUGCGAAAAAAUGUCGGUAUUUUUGUGCGAUAAGCGCAACUUAUCGGCGCUUUAUUUUGAAAAUAACAAUGCUAUAAAGCUAAACAAAAUGUUUUUACAUUUUAUUUCUAUUGUUUGUUGGGCAUUGCUGCUAUUCACUGAUUUUUAUUUUAUGACUAUAAUUAUUUCGACCUUGUUAUAUACAUAGUAAAUCAGCAACUGCAUUUAUUCAUUUCGGCAUCGCAGCAUUCAGAAGCCGGAUAGGCGUCGAGGCAACAGGCCGGAUUGUAGACGAAACAGUCGGUGGUCUGGUGCACUUCCUCUGUAUCCUUUUUUUUAUUGAAUCAAUUCUCCUUCGCCUCCUUUGCUUCUUAUUUCUCUCUUGCUAUUUCUCUUCUUAUCUUCAUUUUAUUCAACAAAAUAUUCCUUAUUUUUAUUAAAAUUCUAUAAACAUUUAUAAUCUGCACCGAGCCAACACUAGACUCGGUCACCGACCGUUUGAAUCGCUUUUUUGGUGAAGGAGCUGACGGUACAGACGGGGCGAACUGACGAAGUAGACGGUGGAUAUGAGUAAACGGUGCAUGGCGCAGAUGAAGGUUCUUCCGUGGUCUGGAAAAAAUAGAAUGGAAUAUUGACCGUACUUUCUACCCAUUCCCAUGUUGUAGAUAUCGUGCACUUCGUAGUUUUCAUUUUGGAGCUGUUUUAGCACAAGAACCAUUUUUCACCUAGUGGUGAUAGAUUUUUCCACGAACGCAGGUGUCUUAUUUGGGAUUGUUUCUGACAUCUGUCAAAAGUUAAAUAGAGUUGUGUGUUGUGUUAAUCUUUUUGCACAUGUGACUUUUCUUGUGAAACGUAUAUACACGUUCCGCCGACCCACCUUCUCAUCGUACUGAGCUAAUCAUUACAAAAAAAUUUUAGUUGCUUUACUUCGCAUCGCAUCCACAUCUCGCAUCAUGUCUUUCCAUUUUGAUCAAGUUUUAUAUUCAUUCUUGAAAGAUGCAGUCAUUGCAUGUCAACGUCCAAAGAUAUAAAGCAAUGCAAAAUCAGCAAUAUGAUAAUAAUGAUAUAAAAGGGUCAUUCGUUAUAUAGAGCGGCUAUACCACGAUGCAUAGUUUUGGCAAUUGCGGUCAGCGUACUUUUGGGCGCACAGAUUAGAAAGAAGAAGGAUAGAUUCGAACCUGGCGGGCUAGGCCGAUAGAUCGACCAUGGUUGCAAGUGUGUACACACAAUUUUUGUACACACACAUUAUAUAGAUAAUCUCUUACGUUUUAUUUGUUUGACCUUUGGGCAAAAUCAAAUAAAAGCAAGUAUUUAAAAUAAACCAGACAAGCAGAAAAUUGAUUCAUUAAUCGGAUUAAUCAGGCAGGCCUGAGGGUUCUAUUUAGCUAGUAAUAUUCGCCAGAAUAUCAAAAAUUCGUCGGUAUAUUUUGAAAAUGAGACCGUAUAUUUCAGUAUUUAUUUGAAUCGGCAAUAACCGGUUGACAACAAUGAGUCCCAUUCCAUACUUUUAAAUUAUGUUCUUAAAUUACUGUACUUGGACAUCGACUUAGGGUGAAUAUUACCAAUUAUUGGGGAAUAUUAACACGACGCAUCCUGACAUUCUGUCGCAGCCGUUUUCUGCCAUAAUUUUCAUUGGCGGAAAGCAAUAAUCGCGUUCCAUGUUGCGGCAAAAUGCAAGCAACAAUGCAUACCCUCGGAAAGGAUAUUAUAGAAUUGAGAAAAGGUUUGUCAUCCCAGGCAAAAACAAUUUAGUCUCUGUUGCAAAAGCAAGUAUUUAGAGUAAGCCAGUUAGUAAAAAAUUGAUUCAUAAAUCGUAUAAAAUUAUGUGGGUAGGGCUGAGAGAUAUAGAUAGCUAUUAACAUUCCACGGAAUAUCAAAAACGAGGAAUAUGGAUUAUAGAGCUUGAGUUCGUCAGUAUAUUUACAGUAUAUUUUGAAAAUGCGGUAUAUUUUGGUAUAUUUCUGAGGGUCAGGCCAUAUAUCCGCGGUUACACUGGGGGGUGGUACCUGGGAUGGGCGUCCAAGAAAAAAUAAACAUUUGGCACUUAGAAGCUUAGAAGUAUGCUUUAAGCUGAGAAACAAAUAAAACAAGCGACAAUGCGACGCUCAAUCAGCGAAACAGAACAUUCCGAAUCGGACCUGUCCUCCGGCGCCACAACGGAGAGCAAUUCCAGCGAUUACGAGCAGGAGGAUAGACACCACAGCAGCAGGGUCCACGACUCCACCACCGCCAAGCGAGACAAUGUCAUGCUGCCCAGGUGAGUCAAGCCUCUUCCGGGUGCAAAGUUCCCAGUUGAGUGUUUAUGACGCUCUACUUAAUCUUAUCUUAUCACCAAUCCACUGGACGAACAGGCCCUGGGCGUCGAGUGGCGGUUGGAAUUCAACUAAAUUUUCACCGAAAUGCACGUAUUUCGAUGCAUUUGUUUUAACAAGCGGCGUCGGCGUUGGCAUCGACGUCAGUGUCAGCGUCGCCGACAGACCGGCGACUUUUGGGCGUUAAAAUUAUUCUACAUGCAUUUUAUUUUUUCUUGUUGCGCUUGCUCCUCGCCUUCGGUUUUCGCUGUUUUCUCGCACCACCGAUUUAUUGAUAUAUUGCUGGCAAGCUGCGUCUUGCAAUGUCUUUUUGUAUGGAAAUUGUGCGGUUUUAUUUGUUUCAAGCGACAGCUGCACUUUCAGCGCACCAACACACACACACACAAACACGCAGGAACUCACAUUUCGACGCGUCGCACGUCGUUUCAGCGGUUGCUUUACUCACUGUUUAUUGCCUUGUUGCGUUACGUUUCGCGUUCUCUCUAUUCUCACUUUUGCCAACUCCACUAUCCACUUGCUUCGUGGUCUUCGCGUUGUCCGUGUGUUUCGGUUUGACUCGAUUUUUAACGGUAGCACCUCUAUAGUAGUUUUCGAUUUAUUGUCAACGCGUACUCGGAUUCAGACUCUACUCAUUUUUUCGUUAUGGAGUAAGUCUGUUUCGAGCAAUAUACACACUUGCUACACAUUUGCUACAUAAUGGAAGAAAAAAAAGGGUAUGAACAACAGGCGAAAUGGCCCAGAAAAUGCAACCGCAUGCAAGCUGAAAUCCACUUUUGCUUAAUAUUUUCAUCACACGCGAACCUCGACAUUUGUCUUGGCUGUUUUUGCCCCUUGUCCUUACCCUUUUUUAUAGCCCAUUUUAAAUAACGACUCAAUUUUUCGUCGCAAGAAAGAGUGAACGAUUUAUCAAUAUGACACAUUACAAUUAUUAGACGAAUAAUUCAUCAACCCCUUUUGUUACCUACAUGGAAUUUUUUUCUAUAAAAACGAGAAAAAAGAGGAUAAAAGGAUAAAGUCAGCCUUUUGACUUCAAGGUCCUUUAUCUUUAUGUAAAAAAAGACCACGAUAUCUUUCACUUAAAGUGCUCUAAAAAUAUUUAAUCACGAAUCAUGCUCCUUGAUUUUGAUAUUCGACUUAAGAUUAGCUAAAACCUUCAGUUCUCAAAACAUAAUUUUAUCCGAUAGAUGAAUCAAUUUUCUAGAAGAUUGGCUAGCUUUAAAUGCUUAAUUUAAUUUUAUUGUUUGUUUGAACAAAGAAGAUCAGAAAUAAAACGUAAUGAUGUGGACAGUGUUGCGAUGAAAAAUGCCUCCAGGCUUGCGAAAAAAUGUCGGUAUUUUUGUGCGAUAAGCGCAACUUAUCGGCGCUUUAUUUUGAAAAUAACAAUGCUAUAAAGCUAAACAAAAUGUUUUUACAUUUUAUUUCUAUUGUUUGUUGGGCAUUGCUGCUAUUCACUGAUUUUGAUUUUAUGACUAUAA